CAAACUAUGAAGUCUCAUGUGAGGAAGUCAGUAUAGAAUGAUCAAAGAAGCGAAUAAGAGAGAAGAAGAACAUGAAGUGUAAGGCAUUCAGAAAGCAGUAGUGGUCGAAGUUAAAGGCUCUCCAGUCAAGAAGAAUACACUGUUAAAACAUUCAUAUGCUUUGAAAUAAGGGACCCUAGGAAGAUCCAUUGCUCCUUUAGCAGGGUGAACAAAACAAGAAGAUGGUCAUCCAUCCAGGAUCCAAAAAGAACCAACCUGUGGUGCCUUGACAUGAGAUUGCCCAGCCUCUGGAACUUUCUAGAUGCUGAGACGUCCAAGUCCAAGGCCUUGGUAGAUUUGCCUUCCAGCUGCUAUCUGCUUCCAAGACGGUUCCUUGUUUUUGCAUUCUCUGGAUGGGACAGACAUUACACCCUCAUACAGAAGAAGCGUCGACUCUGAAACUUACCUGCUACGUUUUUGGCCAAAAGCCAGCGCUUCAUUAAGUCUCCAGUGUGCGGUGAUCCUCUCUGGAUUCCAGCUUGCCUCCUGUUUCAAGGUUUGCCACAGUGAAAGAGUUCGGCUAGCACAGCCACAAAGCGUUAAUACAGGAUGAUCUGGGAGCUUCACAGCAAGAAAAAGUAUGAAAUUUCUUGAUUAGAGAUUGGAACAGGCAAUCAUAUAGAGAACAUUUGGCCAUGAAGAAUCAGCAGGCAGAGACUUUUCAGGCACUCUGACAAGCUGCUUUCUUCACAAUUGCUAAGUCAACUUCUUGGCCAAAAGAUCUGAAAGGUCCACUUUCUGCUUUCUGGAAGAUACACCACUAGGGAAUCUGCUUCACUGCUCAUUCAUUUACUCUUUCACUCAGUCAUUUCCUCAGUAACUUAUUUAAUCAGCUAUUUAAGAACAAUUUUAUUUUAGUACAAAAAAGUGCUUCUAAUAAUUGGAUGAAUGCUCAAAUUCCCUGGAAAUCUUGCUGAAAAGUGUCUUCUAAUUCUCAGUCUGUACUUUAACCAAGUGCUCAGUUGAUGCUGAUGCCACUUCUGCACGGUAUAAGAGACAGAACUCAUUUUGUUUCUCUUUUCCCUAAAUUAGUGGUUCCCAAGCCUGUUAUAAAAAUGCAAAUUCUUAUUCUCAGGCCAAACCCACGGAAUCUUACAGCAAGAUCCGGGAACCUAUAUGUGAUCAAGACCUCCAGUGGAAGUGAUGCAAACUCACAUUUCUAACCCAGACGUGUAGAUCAUAAUUUCUAAAGGCUAGCUGCGCAAUAGAAUCACUUGGGGAGUGUAAGAGUUAAAUUACUUUCUCAAAAAAGAUAUGUCAAAGUGCUAACCCUAGAAGAUACCUGUGAACAUGCUAUUGUUUGGAAAUGCACACUGCAGAUAUAAUCAGGCUAAUAUGAGAUCAUGAUGGCUCCUAUAUCCAAUGACUGCAGUCUUUACAACGACAAUGGGAUUUUGACACACAGAUAUCUCAAGAUGUGAAGAAAUUCAUGUGACAAAGGAGGCAUAAACUGCAGUAAGGCAGGUUUAGACAAGGGAAUGGUAAGGACUGCUAAAAACCAUCAGGAGCUAAGGAAAAAACAUGAGACAGUCUUCCCCAGAAACUUUAGAGCAAAUAGAAAUUUACCAAAACCACGACUUUAGAUGUUCAACAUUUACAAUUGUGACACAAUAUACUCCUGUUAUUUCUAGGCAACAAGCUUGAGAUACUUUGUUAUGGCAGCCCAGGAAACUAAUAUAGACCUUUGCAAAACUAAACCAAACAGAAACAGAACAAAACACCGUGAUGUUUAUUACCCAAUCAAUUAAAUUAGAAUUCCUAAGGAUAAUGUCUCUAUGUUUGAUUUUAAAAAUCUCCCUCAAGGAGUUUCAAUUUGUCAUCAGAGUAAAAGUAUUCAACUCUACCCAUUUUCAGAUAUGAAUAGCCUGUUUAUAUUCUGUUUUGCAAUAAGUCAAAUUGCCAGGAAUAGUUGAAUAUCAAUGAGAUGAUGUCUUUGUUUUGUGAGUACCAAAAUUAGUUAUGUAGAUAAGACUUACAUUAUGACAGUAUUUCUCAGAAUUUGAUUAGGGUUACAGUCAUCUGCAGUUAAGCCUUAGUAGAAAUGCAAAAUUCUCGGACCACCAUAGUUCUACGAGUCAGAGACAGCAUUUAAACAAUGUCCCCAGGUAAUUUAAAUGCACAUUAAAAGUUGAAAAAUACUGUCCUUACCGCAGAAAGACACCCAUGGGAAGUUUUGAGUGAUAUGAU